CCCAGCAUGGCGUCCAGCACUUCCCACGUUGACGUCACACAAGGCCAGCCACUGAGGUCGGCACCAUCCUGACGGGACAGCAAAGCAGAGCAGAAACACCUGUGAGAAGCAGAAUAGCUUCAAGACUUAAAAGAGUUGAUUUUUGAGAAGAGAGAACAUGGAAGAAAUCACAACCCCCUGCAAG